GAUCAUGGCUCAGGAUGAACGCUAGCUACAGGCUUAACACAUGCAAGUCGAGGGGCAGCAUGGUCUUAGCUUGCUAAGGCAGAUGGCGACCGGCGCACGGGUGAGUAACACGUAUCCAACCUGCCGUCUACUCUUGGACAGCCUUCUGAAAGGAAGAUUAAUACAAGAUGGUAUCAUGAGUCCGCAUGUUCACAUGAUUAAAGGUAUUCCGGUAGACGAUGGGG
rnacentral:rRNA from 1 species